UACGAAGGGUGCAAGCGUUACUCGGAAUUACUGGGCGUAAAGCGUGCGUAGGUGGUUUGUUAAGUCUGAUGUGAAAGCCCCGGGCUCAACCUGGGAAUUGCAUUGGAUACUGGCGGGCUAGAGUGCGGUAGAGGGUAGUGGAAUUCCCGGUGUAGCAGUGAAAUGCGUAGAGAUCGGGAGGAACAUCUGUGGCGAAGGCGACUGCCUGGACCGGCACUGACACUGAGGCACGAAAGCGUGGGGAGCAAACAGG
rnacentral:rRNA from 1 species